ensembl:antisense Gm43376 predicted gene 43376
ACUCUUUAUUCUCUGAACUGCAGCGAUAGACAGGGCUAAGGGAAAGGGCAUUCGAAACCAAGCCUUGCCACAAAAGCUGCUAAAUAUCUGGAUUCUCCUCCACCUAAAAUAGCCACAGAGCCCCCAUCUCCCUUGAACUCGGGCCCUCGGCACUGGGUACAAUCUUCACGAGCUCUGUAGAGGAGCUCCUCCCAGGGCUGUGCUCCCUGUGUUUUCCUCUCGACUGUAUUCCUGCUUUCUCGUGAACAUACCCCUGAAGAAAGUAAACUGGAAAUCCGAAGAAAUAAGUGGUAAGAAAGACCGUGCAACUGGGAGUCCUGGCUGCACCACAGACUAAGCCACGUGAUGUUACCCACAUCAGCUCUACUCUUCUGAGGAAUGAUCAUCUGCCCACUGCGAAUUAGUCAGGUAAGCCACAAAAGCUGAGCAGAAGAACACCCACCACACAGUGAGAGGUACGUAAUGUUAGUUUUGUAAGUGAUAUUGUGCAUAAAACUCGCUCAUAUGUAUUCUUGUGAAAUCCAGCUCUGAUACAUUAACAAAAUAAAGUCCAAUAUAACACGAGAUGAAUACAUUGAUGCACAGAUAUAGAGUGAGGCGUUAACAGUAACGUGUCUAUCUCAGACACGCCCUCCAGCUAUGGGGGAGGCAGAAUCACUGCAGAGCCUGCUGACAGACUCUUUAGUCACUCGUUUCAGAAUGAGCAUAUAGUUAUGAGAAUGUAUAUCUAAGUCUCAGGUGAUGGUGAUACUGAUCAGGGACCCCUCUGACUUCUAAAGAGAAAGUGACACUAAGGAAGGAUUAAUAAAAAGCAAAAGAGUUAAGAGUACUUCAAGUCUCUGAAUUCUCACCAUAUCUGUAAAUUUUCUUUGACCUUUUUUUUUUUUUAAUAACUGGUAAUACGGCCCUUUUUUUGCAUCUCCUAUUUCACCAAAUCCUUUUCUUCUGUAGUCAUUUCCUAUAGCUUCCCACUAACGUGACUGCAUCUACUAUGGAAGCAUACAUAGGAAUCACAAUUGUAGAAAUGAGAUAGAUCUAGAUAUUAAUAUUUUCUAAAGCUAAUAUCAUAAAGCAGCACUAAUAUUGAGUUGUAUUUAAGAUUAACAGAAGUGAGCACACAGAAAUGGGAAAACUCAAGAUUCUGGAGAUUCUAUCUAUCAUCAAACCAUAUUACUAGAUUUUCUUAUCACACAUCACAAAACAUUCUAAGUGAAAAACUUUUAGUAUCCCUUUCUACACUGAAGAAACUGAUAGGUUACUAUUGAUAUUGUAUUUAUAGAUUACCCCAAGUGUGUCUUCAGAGGAGGGUAAAAUAUGUGUUUAUCCAUACAUAAUUAUUAAAGUAAGUUAUACAGACAUAGACUUCAUCUUUAGAGCUCCCUCAGUGUUCAGUAGAUAAAGACUGAAAUCCCUCCACCUAAAAGGACAGGUGCUGGGCCUGCAAUGCUCUUUUAAUGUUUCUUUUUCUUCUUGGAGAAAAGCACAGUAUAACCAGUUCAGAUUCCUUGGUAUGCAUAAGAAAAUCAUCUAUUAACAUGUAAUAAAGAAAUGGUAACUUAGGGGAACUCUAUGGAACUAUUUUCAGUUCUGUAAAUAGUUUCUGUCAAAGACAAAAUAAAUGAAAUUCCUGGGCACAGGACAGAAGAUGGCAAUUUCUAGGUCAGACUGAGCUAUAGCAUAGGGUCACAACCAACCAACCAAGCAACCAACCACUACCUACCAAAGAGAAAAACAAAACAAAGC